rnacentral:rRNA from 1 species
ACACCGGCAGCUCAAGUGGUGGCCAUUUUUAUUGGGCCUAAAGCGUUCGUAGCCGGCUUGAUAAGUCUCUGGUGAAAUCCCAUAGCUUAACUGUGGGAAUUGCUGGAGAUACUAUUAGGCUUGAGGCCGGGAGAGGUUAGGGGUACUCCCAGGGUAGGGGUGAAAUCCUAUAAUCCUGGGAGGACCACCUGUGGCGAAGGCGCCUAACUGGAACGGACCUGACACUGAGGCGCGAAAGCCAGGGGAGC